ACUCGAGCGGCGAACGGGUGAGUAACACGUGAGUAAUCUGCCCCUGGCUUCGGGAUAGCCACCGGAAACGGUGAUUAAUACCGGAUAUGACACAUUCUCGCAUGGGUUUGUGUGGAAAGUUUUUCGGCCAGGGAUGUGCUCGCGGCCUAUCAGCUUGAUGGUGAGGUAAUGGCUCACCAUGGCUUCGACGGGUAGCCGGCCUGAGAGGGUGACCGGCCACACUGGGACUGAGACACGGCCCAGACUCCUACGGGAGGCAGCAGUGGGGAAUAUUGGACAAUGGGCGGAAGCCUGAUCCAGCAACGCCGCGUGAGGGAUGACGGCCUUCGGGUUGUAAACCUCUUUCAGUACCGACGAAGCGCAAGUGACGGUAGGUACAGAAGAAGCACCGGCCAACUACGUGCCAGCAGCCGCGGUAAUACGUAGGGUGCGAGCGUUGUCCGGAAUUAUUGGGCGUAAAGGGCUCGUAGGCGGUUUGUCGCGUCGGGAGUGAAAACGCCGUGCUUAACACGGCGCUUGCUUCCGAUACGGGCAGACUAGAGGUAUUCAGGGGAGAACGGAAUUCCUGGUGUAGCGGUGAAAUGCGCAGAUAUCAGGAGGA
rnacentral:rRNA from 1 species